GGAUAUUGAAUUUUCUAUGAAGUCAAUAUGUAUAUCGAUUUUAUUUGUAUGGUACAUGUAAAAAAAUGCAGGACUGUUGGAUGAAGUAAGUUUAAAGCCAUCUCGAUAUAUGAGUUACAACCCGGAGUACUUUAAAAUCAAGUAAAAAAUUAACUUCUAUUUACUACAUUUAUGUAAAUUACUUUGGAAUUAAUUUACCGUUAUUAACCGUUUCGAUUGGGUCAGAGUACAAUUUCACAAAAUUUAUAAGAUAAUAAUUGUCAGCUAGUUUAUGAUUCGAUCAUUCAAAAUUUAAAAAAUUUCAAAUGCAAAUUAAAAUGUUUAACAAGGAGGAAAUAUUCAAAAUUUCAAUUCGUUAAAUUGCAGUGAAUAAGGACAGUUAACAGCAAUUAUAGUGAAAUUUUGAAGCUAUACUAAGAACGACAAGGUCAGCUCAUUAUGUGGCCGGAUUUUUAAUGUUCAGAUUAAAAUGAAACUCAAAUCAUAGAAGCACUUAAUAUUACUUCUCCGUGUUUAACAAAACUGUGGUAUUUCCAUAAACAAGUACAAAUAAAU